CCCCCUCACACCCCUAUCAUCCAAUAAAUAGAAAACAUGAUUAGGCGAAGUUCAACUUCCGAUGUUUUGCAAACAUCUCUUAGUAUAUAUCAAUUCAAAAGUGCCCUUUCACGAAAAUCUGCCCCCCCCCUGCCAUCACAUCGUUCCGGCGUCCCUGCACAUUUCUUAUUCUAUAUUAAAUAUAUCAGGUUAAAACUUAUUCAGCUACUGAAAGCUGUCAUCCUAUAUUACCUAUAAGGAUCGCGGUAAGGACCUGUAAUAUAUAUGACAUAUCGUUCUUUGUGAAAAUUGCUUAUGUAAGAAAUUUUAUCCUAUAUUCUCAAAUAUCAUAAUUUUACCUGCAUGUACA